CGUCGGCCGGCGGAUAUCUUCCGUGGGCUAAGAAUUCCUAGUGGUUUUGUCCUGUGUAUUCAUUAAAUUAUUAAUUGGAAUACGAUUUCUGAACUUUUACACCCUGAAUUUUACUUAUUUUCUUGUCUUAUCUUAUAAAGAAUUUUCCAAAUUUUUAUAAUGUUGAAUCUUUUGGCUGCUAGCGCUUUUAGUUUAGAUGAUAUUUGUUACCGAAAUUAUUCAAAGAGCAUGAUGCAGCAAUAUUUUUUUGUUAUUAAUUAUUUUCCAUCUUAUUUUCCAAAUUUUAUUAUCUUAUCUUUAAAUUAUUAUUUUUUUGGGUUAAACUUUUUAACGAGACCUUAUGGAUAUCUUUGACCAGCUGUGAGCCGCAUGCUUCUUGAACGAUUUCAAUGAUUCUAUCAAAUAUUGACAGGCCAAGAGGUGGAUGUGGAAGCGGGUCAUCAAUCUGCACUUAUAGGGAGUUUACACCUAAGUCUGACAUCGUAGAAGGACCAUUCUUGCAUGAGAUUUGGUAUUGCACCUGGGUCUAGCAUCGUAAAAUGACCAUUCUUGCAUCAGAUUGGCUAAUUUUUGCUGGUUUUAUGGACAUUGCACCUGAGUCUGACAUCGUAGGAUAAUCAUUCUUGCAUCAGAUGGUAAGUAAUUAAUUUCUUUAUCAUUUUCAUACAUAAUUUAUAUGAACAACUUAUGAAUUAGCGAAAAGAAAUUCUUUUUUGUAUUUCGAAGCACUGAUUUUGCUGGUUUUCGGGGUUUAGCAUAUGAACGCGUAAUAUCAGCGAGGUCCCUAAAGAUGUAAAAUUUAAUUCAUCAUUGCGUUAUAUUCUAAUGUCGUAGGAGAUGUACCUGUAGAACGUGUAGGUAUUGUUAGAUAAAUUGUACGUUUCGUACGUCGUUAUGUCGAUAACUUGUAUCUGUUUGUUUACAUCACGAAGUAUAGGUUUACAUUUAGUCAUUUUGAAUAGUAUAUGGAUUAUAUUUAACAUGGAUUGUGUUUUAUUAAUAUACCAGGAUGAUGAUACUUUUAUGAAACUUUGAUCAUGUUCAAUCUAUGUUCUUUAUAUGUUCCGCAGAAUUUUCUACACUUUGUUUAUGCCUUCAAUUCGACCUUGGCUUGCGCAGCACGCUGUGCGCUGCCAUUUGAAAUUUGAACAGAACCGCACUGGCCGCCGUCUAUCGCCGGCUUCAAGUGACAAUUCGCUAUACUGCUCAGUACAUUUUGCGCUGUCGGGUUAGCUAUUGUUCUUUCCUGAUUAGUCAGUCGGUGCUACGCAAUUGUGCUGUGUGCACGUGUUCUGUUUCACCGCCGGUCUUCAUCGCGACUGUUAGCAUUUCGGGAUACUUUAAUACGGUGCGAGCCUUAGAAUCGUUUAGUCAUCGAUUGCUAUCAACUAUUGAACACGUGAUUUAUCUCAAAUCGACUCGAGACUUAAGCCAUCAGCCGCCGGCCGGCGGAUCUCUUUCGUUGGACUACGGAUUCGAAUUGGAUUUAUAGGCCAAAAUGGUAUUGUUAAUUAGAGGGGAUAAAUCACGUGAGUAGUAACAUCAAUUCUACUAACAGUUCUACUUUGGGUGAAACGUUUGAUAAGAGAGCGUUGUGACUUGAUAGUACGUAGGAUAUAACUUGAAUCGUACGUACGUUCGUUUUAUUAAAAAAAAUGAAGAAUGUAUUGUUAAAUGCAAUUAAUAAAACUCAAUUUAAUAAUAGAA